rnacentral:lncRNA from 12 species
ACCCAGGGAUUUUCUUAGUAACAGGAAGGAACAGAUAGCGGUACUUUAAUUCCUAUUGAUUGAGAAGAGAACAUAAGUUAGACUAUAUUUAGGUUUUAUUUGGGUAUUUGUGAUAAUUAAUAAGAAAAGAAGGAAACAUCUGUCCUAGAAAUGGAGAAGAUGAGAGGGAAUAGGGCAAAAAAAUUGGCUGCAUCAGUUAAGACUGCUGGGAGAUGCUAAGGCUGGCAAAAAUCCUGGCUGAGUUAUAGUUUGGAGAAGAGUUCGGGAAAAUAAGAGUUUCAUCAAAUAUAUCAGAGGAUAGAGUGGUCCUGAGGAGGCAGGCUAUGGAUAAAUGAGACGGUGAUGAAGUGUGACCAUUAUAAGCUAAUGGACACCUUGAGGGGAGAGAGAGCCAAGGAGACAACACUGACAUUCCAAAUCAGAAUGGAGCAGCAGUCCAAUGAUGGGUCUCCCUGGGUGGGAAGGAAAUUAGCCGGUGUAUUCUGCACGCUGCUUACAAUCAUUCUCCCAGACCUCUGAGGCAGAUGGGGGAUCGGAGGGGCUGCACCCAUGUAAACAGCCACAGGAAGAUGCGCAGCAAGCCAGAGAGUCCCAGAGCAAAAGAAUCAGUGGCCAGAGGCAGUGUCUAUAAACACGAAGAGGACAGAGGGAUCUGCAGUGAUGAGCCCAUAGUCUACCUCAUGGCAGACAAGGUAGCUGCACCCAGGUUCCUCCCAGCAAAUCAGGCAGCUCAUCUCAAAGCCGUUUGCCCAGAAGGCCUGAGGAGGGACCAGCCAGACUGGGUUUGCAAACAGCCGCUUGAGAGUCUCCAAACACACACCCCUUGGAACAGACUCAUCAUCUGGUGGCAUCUGCGAACUGCAGCUCAAGCCAAGGCUCUGUGCUCUGGGUCUUUCGCGCCCACUCAGUGGGCUUCUCACCUGUGAGUGCGUGUGCGUGUGUGCGCGCGUGUGUGUGCAUUUAUGCACGUGCCUGUGUGGGGGUGGGGUAUAUUUAGUGAGUAAAUCCUUGGGUGCACCUAGCUCUGUCCCUGGGCUCCACUGAUAAUGUAUCUCACACAUACCUGAUGUGCAAUUAUUUGUCAAAUGUUAUCAAUGUUGUGAAGAAUAAAACACAUUUUCAAGUAUGGCUUUUUGUCA